rnacentral:rRNA from 1 species
GGAAACCGGAGCUAAUACCGGAUAAUAUUUUGAACCGCAUGGUUCAAAAGUGAAAGACGGUCUUGCUGUCACUUAUAGAUGGAUCCGCGCUGCAUUAGCUAGUUGGUAAGGUAACGGCUUACCAAGGCAACGAUGCAUAGCCGACCUGAGAGGGUGAUCGGCCACACUGGAACUGAGACACGGUCCAGACUCCUACGGGAGGCAGCAGUAGGGAAUCUUCCGCAAUGGGCGAAAGCCUGACGGAGCAACGCCGCGUGAGUGAUGAAGGUCUUCGGAUCGUAAAACUCUGUUAUUAGGGAAGAACAUAUGUGUAAGUAACUGUGCACAUCUUGACGGUACCUAAUCAGAAAGCCACGGCUAACUACGUGCCAGCAGCCGCGGUAAUACGUAGGUGGCAAGCGUUAUCCGGAAUUAUUGGGCGUAAAGCGCGCGUAGGCGGUUUUUUAAGUCUGAUGUGAAAGCCCACGGCUCAACCGUGGAGGGUCAUUGGAAACUGGAAAACUUGAGUGCAGAAGAGGAAAGUGGAAUUCCAUGUGUAGCGGUGAAAUGCGCAGAGAUAUGGAGGAACACCAGUGGCGAAGGCGACUUUCUGGUCUGUAACUGACGCUGAUGUGCGAAAGCGUGGGGAUCAAACAGGAUUAGAUACCCUGGUAGUCCACGCCGUAAACGAUGAGUGCUAAGUGUUAGGGGGUUUCCGCCCCUUAGUGCUGCAGCUAACGCAUUAAGCACUCCGCCUGGGGAGUACGACCGCAAGGUUGAAACUCAAAGGAAUUGACGGGGACCCGCACAAGCGGUGGAGCAUGUGGUUUAAUUCGAAGCAACGCGAAGAACCUUACCAAAUCUUGACAUCCUUUGACAACUCUAGAGAUAGAGCCUUCCCCUUCGGGGGACAAAGUGACAGGUGGUGCAUGGUUGUCGUCAGCUCGUGUCGUGAGAUGUUGGGUUAAGUCCCGCAACGAGCGCAACCCUUAAGCUUAGUUGCCAUCAUUAAGUUGGGCACUCUAAGUUGACUGCCGGUGACAAACCGGAGGAAGGUGGGGAUGACGUCAAAUCAUCAUGCCCCUUAUGAUUUGGGCUACACACGUGCUACAAUGGACAAUACAAAGGGCAGCGAAACCGCGAGGUCAAGCAAAUCCCAUAAAGUUGUUCUCAGUUCGGAUUGUAGUCUGCAACUCGACUACAUGAAGCUGGAAUCGCUAGUAAUCGUAGAUCAGCAUGCUACGGUGAAUACGUUCCCGGGUCUUGUACACACCGCCCGUCACACCACGAGAGUUUGUAACACCCGAAGCCGGUGGAGUAACCUUUUAGGAGCUAGCCGUCGAAGGUGGGACAAAUGAUUGGGGUGAAGUCGUAACAAGGUAGCCGUAUCGGAAGGUGCGGCU